rnacentral:misc_RNA from 1 species
GAUGAAGAACGCAGCGAAAUGCGAUAAGUAAUGUGAAUUGCAGAAUUCAGUGAAUCAUCGAAUCUUCGAACGCACCUUGCGCUCCUUGGUAUUCCGAGGAGCAUGCCUGUUUGAGUGUCAUGAAAUUCUCAACCUUUUCAGCUUUCUUUGUUGAUCAGGCUUGGAUGUGGGAGUAUGCGGGCUUCUCAGAAGUCGGCUCUCCUGAAAUGCAUUAGCGGGACCUUUGUUGCCUGGCUUUGGUGUGAUAAUUAUCUACGCCAUUGUAGUCAAGCAGCUUAAAAUGAGGUUUCAGCUUCUAACCGUCUCCCCUGAGACAACUUUUUGACAAUUUGACCUCAAAUCAGGUAGGACUACCCGCUGAACUUAAGCAUAUCAAUAAGCGGAGGA